GAUGAACGCUGGCGGCGUGCCUAAUACAUGCAAGUCGAGCGAAUGGAUUAAGAGCUUGCUCUUAUGAAGUUAGCGGCGGACGGGUGAGUAACACGUGGGUAACCUGCCCAUAAGACUGGGAUAACUCCGGGAAACCGGGGCUAAUACCGGAUAACAUUUUGAACCGCAUGGUUCGAAAUUGAAAGGCGGCUUCGGCUGUCACUUAUGGAUGGACCCGGGUCGCAUUAGCUAGUUGGUGAGGUAACGGCUCACCAAGGCAACGAUGCGUAGCCGACCUGAAGGGGUGAUCGGCCACACGGGGACUGGGACACGGCCCAGACUCCACCGGGAGGCAGAAUUAGGGAAGCUUCCGCAAUGGACGAAAGUCUGACGGAGCAACGCCGCGUGAGUGAUGAAGGCUUUCGGGUCGUAAAACUCUGUUGUUAGGGAAGAACAAGUGCUAGUUGAAUAAGCUGGCACCUUGACGGUACCUAACCAGAAAGCCACGGCUAACUACGUGCCAGCCGCCGCCGUAA
rnacentral:rRNA from 1 species